rnacentral:rRNA from 1 species
UACGUAGGGGGCAAGCGUUAUCCGGAUUUACUGGGUGUAAAGGGAGCGUAGACGGCAGAGCAAGUCCGGAGUGAAAGCCCGGGGCCCAACCCCGGGACUGCUCUGGAAACUGUUAAGCUGGAGUGCGGGAGGGGCAGGCGGAAUUCCUGGUGUAGCGGUGAAAUGCGUAGAUAUCAGGAGGAACACCGGCGGCGAAGGCGGCCUGCUGGACCGAGACUGACGUUGAGGCUCGAAAGCGUGGGGAGCAAACAGG